rnacentral:rRNA from 1 species
AGAGUUUGAUCCUGGCUCAGAAUCAACGCUGGCGGCGUGCCUAACACAUGCAAGUCGAACGAGAAAGGGACUUCGGUCCUGAGUAAAGUGGCGCACGGGUGAGUAACACGUGACUAACCUACCCUUGAGUGGGGGAUAACUUCGGGAAACCGAGGCUAAUACCGCAUAACACCUACGGGUCAAAGGAGCAAUUCGCUUAAGGAGGGGGUCGCGGCAGAUUAGUUAGUUGGCGGGGUAAUGGCCCACCAAGACAGUGAUCUGUAUCCGGCCUGAGAGGGCGCACGGACACACUGGAACUGAAACACGGUCCAGACUCCUACGGGAGGCAGCAGUGGGGAAUUUUGCGCAAUGGGGGAAACCCUGACGCAGCAACGCCGCGUGAAGGAUGAAGUAUUUCGGUACGUAAACUUCUUUCGAUCGGGACGAUAAUGACGGUACCGAGAGAAGAAGCCCCGGCUAACUUCGUGCCAGCAGCCGCGGUAAUACGAGGGGGGCGAGCGUUGUUCGGAAUUAUUGGGCGUAAAGGGUGCGUAGGCGGUUUGGUAAGUCUGAUGUGAAAUCUAUGGGCUCAACUCAUAGUCUGCAUCGGAAACUGCCGGGCUUGAGUAUGGGAGAGGUGAGUGGAAUUUCCGGUGUAGCGGUGAAAUGCGUAGAUAUCGGAAGGAACACCUGUGGCGAAAGCGGCUCACUGGACCAUAACUGACGCUGAUGCACGAAAGCUAGGGGAGCAAACAGGAUUAGAUACCCCCGUAGUCC